GACGAACGCUGGCGGCGUGCUUAACACAUGCAAGUCGAACGAAGAGCGAUGGAAGCUUGCUUCUAUCAAUCUUAGUGGCGAACGGGUGAGUAACGCGUAAUCAACCUGCCCUUCAGAGGGGGACAACAGUUGGAAACGACUGCUAAUACCGCAUACGAUCUAAUCUCGGCAUCGAGGAUAGAUGAAAGGUGGGCUCUACAUGUAAGCUAUCACUGAAGGAGGGGAUUGCGUCUGAUUAGCUAGGUGGGGGGGGAACGGCCCACCCAGGCGAGGAUCAGUAGGCGGUCUGGGAGGAUGAACGGCCAAAAUUGGACUUAGGCACGGCCCAGACCCCUACGGGAGGCAGCAGUGGGGAAACUUCCGAAAAGGACGAAAGGCUGACUGAGGAACGCCGCGGUGGGGAUGACAGCCUUCGGGUUGGAAAGCUCGGUUAAUCGGGACGAAAGGCCUUCUUGCGAAUAGUGAGAAGGAUUGACGGUACCGGAAUAGAAAGCCACGGCUAACUACGUG
rnacentral:rRNA from 1 species